rnacentral:rRNA from 1 species
UACGAGGGGGGCGUGCGUUGUUCGGAAUUAUUGGGCGUAAAGGGCGCGUAGGCGGUCGGAUAAGUCUUGUGUGAAAUCUUCGGGCUCAACUCGAAGUCUGCACAGGAAACUAUCUGGCUUGAGUGUGGGAGAGGUGAGUGGAAUUCCUGGUGUAGCGGUGAAAUGCGUAGAUAUCAGGAGGAACACCUGUGGCGAAAGCGGCUCACUGGACCACAACUGACGCUGAGGCGCGAAAGCUAGGGGAGCAAACAGG